rnacentral:rRNA from 1 species
UCUGUAGGUGGAUAAGUAGGUGGCUUGUUAAAGCCCACGGCUCAACUGUGGAACUGCAAGUCAAACCGCUUAUCUAGAGUAUGUUAGGGAGGUUGGAAUUCUCGGUGGAGGGUGAAAUCCAUUGAUAUCGAGAGGAACGUCAAGGGCGAAGGCAAACCUCUGGGGCAUUACUGACACUAAGAGACGAAAGCUAGGGUAGCAAAAG